UACGGAGGGUGCAAGCGUUAAUCGGAAUUACUGGGCGUAAAGCGCACGCAGGUGGCUGAGUCAGUCGAUUGUGAAAGCCCUGGGCUUAACCUGGGAAUUGCAGUCGAUACUACUCAGCUAGAGUAUGGGAGAGGGUAGUGGAAUUCCCGGUGUAGCGGUGAAAUGCGUAGAGAUCGGGAAGAACAUCGGUGGCGAAGGCGGCCUGCUGGGCUGUUGCUGACGCUGAGGCGCGACAGCGUGGGGAGCAAACAGG
rnacentral:rRNA from 1 species